UCUUUCUUUCUUUCUUUUUCCUUCUGUAGUCUGGCUUGCCUGCUAUGUAUAAUUACUAAGUUACAAAUUUGACUAGCUUAGGUUGUGUUGGUAAACAGUGGGCAAACCAUUUUGCCAUUUAUCCAUCCUGUAAUUCCCCCCACACAAUAAACCAUUCUGAAACAAGGGUGCAUUGCAGUCGCAUUAUGCUGGUUAGCCUAACCACCUGAGUUCACAUGCUAGGUGUCUGAUGUUGGCAUGAUAGAUUAGCCGAGGACUAAUCUUGGAUGGGAUGGAUUAUAGCUCAUUAGCUGAGGAAUAAUCUUGGUUGCGAUGGUUUAUAGCUCAUGCUUGUGCUAGCUUUUACACCAAAUUACCAUUUUCUAGUAGAUGAUGAUCAUUAAAUUUUUGGGGAGCUCUACGAAUACAAAUAUUUGACAAAAUUGUUCGUUUUUCCCUUUCUUUAUUUUUCUUAUGUUAUGCUUGUUUGUUGGACUUAUAUUAUUUUGAUGUCUGGAUGCAGGGUUCAAAGAUGGUUC
rnacentral:misc_RNA from 1 species